UGGGGAAUCUUGCGCAAUGGGCGAAAGCCUGACGCAGCCAUGCCGCGUGGAUGAUGAAGGUCUUAGGAUUGUAAAAUCCUUUCACCGGUGAAGAUAAUGACUGUAGCCGGAGAAGAAGCCCCGGCUAACUUCGUGCCAGCAGCCGCGGUAAUACGAAGGGGGCUAGCGUUGCUCGGAAUUACUGGGCGUAAAGGGAGCGUAGGCGGACAUUUAAGUCAGGGGUGAAAUCCCAGAGCUCAACUCUGGAACUGCCUUUGAUACUGGGUGUCUUGAGUGUGAGAGAGGUAUGUGGAACUCCGAGUGUAGAGGUGAAAUUCGUAGAUAUUCGGAAGAACACCAGUGGCGAAGGCGACAUACUGGCUCAUUACUGACGCUGAGGCUCGAAAGCGUGGGGAGCAAACA
rnacentral:rRNA from 1 species